rnacentral:snoRNA from 1 species
GUGAGGUGAUGACACUGUUUAUCCAUUCUCUGAGUGCAGUGGCAGCGCUGCCCUCCUGCAGCACCCAGCUCCUGUUCUAGGCUACUGGGUGCUGUGCAGCCUCCAGACAUCCUGCAGUGUCCUGCUGGGGACUGCUGUGAUGUGUGGCUGGCUGCCUGCAGGAGGGGAACAGUGCUGGCAGGGUUGGAGCCCCUCUUUGGGGGCUCCAGCCUCACUGGGACGAGGGAUGACGUCUGAUCAU